rnacentral:rRNA from 1 species
UACGUAGGGUGCGAGCGUUAAUCGGAAUCACUGGGCGUAAAGUGUGCGCAGGCGGCCGCGCAAGUCGAGUGUGAAAUCCCCGAGCUUAACUUGGGAAUUGCGCUCGAAACUACGUGGCUGGAGUGUGGCAGAGGAAGGUGGAAUUCCACGUGUAGCGGUGAAAUGCGUAGAGAUGUGGAGGAACACCGAUGGCGAAGGCAGCCUUCUGGGCCAACACUGACGCUCAUGCACGAAAGCGUGGGGAGCAAACAGG